rnacentral:rRNA from 1 species
GACGAACGCUGGCGGCGUGCCUAAUACAUGCAAGUAGAACGCAGUUGCGAACGGGUGAGUAAUGUGUAGGUAAUUGCCUCAUAGCGGGGGAUACCUAUUGGAAACGUUAGCUAAUACCGCAUACUGAGAGAUGGAACUGCGUUGUAUUAGCUAGUUGGUGAGGUAAAGGCUCACCAAGGCGACGUUACACAGCCGACCUGAGUGGGGGAGCGACAACACGGGGACUGGGGAACGGGCCCAACUCCCAAGGGAGGCAGCAGUAGGGAAACAUCGGCAAUGGAGGGAAGUCUGACCGAGCAAAGCCGCGGGAGUUAAGGAGGUUUUCGGAUCGUAAAGCGCUGUUGUUAGGGAAGCGGUAACUAACCAGAAAGGGACGGCUAACUACGUGCCAGCAGCCGCGGUAAUUC